GUCGAGCGAACAGACGAGGAGCUUGCUCCUCUGACGUUAGCGGCGGACGGGUGAGUAACACGUGGAUAACCUACCUAUAAGACUGGGAUAACUUCGGGAAACCGGAGCUAAUACCGGAUAAUAUAUUGAACCGCAUGGUUCAAUAGUGAAAGACGGUUUUGCUGUCACUUAUAGAUGGAUCCGCGCCGCAUUAGCUAGUUGGUAAGGUAACGGCUUACCAAGGCAACGAUGCGUAGCCGACCUGAGAGGGUGAUCGGCCACACUGGAACUGAGACACGGUCCAGACUCCUACGGGAGGCAGCAGUAGGGAAUCUUCCGCAAUGGGCGAAAGCCUGACGGAGCAACGCCGCGUGAGUGAUGAAGGUCUUCGGAUCGUAAAACUCUGUUAUUAGGGAAGAACAAAUGUGUAAGUAACUAUGCACGUCUUGACGGUACCUAAUCAGAAAGCCACGGCUAACUACGUGCCAGCAGCCGCGGUAAUACGUAGGUGGCAAGCGUUAUCCGGAAUUAUUGGGCGUAAAGCGCGCGUAGGCGGUUUUUUAAGUCUGAUGUGAAAGCCCACGGCUCAACCGUGGAGGGUCAUUGGAAACUGGAAAACUUGAGUGCAGAAGAGGAAAGUGGAAUUCCAUGUGUAGCGGUGAAAUGCGCAGAGAUAUGGAGGAACACCAGUGGCGAAGGCGACUUUCUGGUCUGUAACUGACGCUGAUGUGCGAAAGCGUGGGGAUCAAACAGGAUUAGAUACCCUGGUAGUCCACGCCGUAAACGAUGAGUGCUAAGUGUUAGGGGGGUUUCCGCCCCUUAGUGCUGCAGCUAACGCAUUAAGCACUCCGCCUGGGGAGUACGACCGCAAGGUUGAAACUCAAAGGAAUUGACGGGGACCCGCACAAGCGGUGGAGCAUGUGGUUUUAAUUCGAAGCAACGCGAAGAA
rnacentral:rRNA from 1 species